rnacentral:rRNA from 1 species
GGUUGAUCCUGCCGGACCUGACUGCUAUCGGAUUGAUACUAAGCCAUGUGAGUCAUUGUAGCAAUACAAGGCAGACGGCUCAGUAACACGUAGCCAAUCUAACCUAUGGACGGGGAUAACCUCGGGAAACUGAGGAUAAACCCCGAUAGAUCAUUAUGCCUGGAACGGUUUAUGGUCCAAAUGAUUCGUCGCCGUAGGAUGAGACUGCGGCCUAUCAGCUUGUUGGUGAGGUAAUGGCCCACCAAGGCUAUUACAGGUACGGGCUCUGAGAGGAGAAGCCCGGAGAUGGGUACUGAGACACGGACCCAGGCCCUAUGGGGCGCAGCAGGCGAGAAACCUUUGCAAUGUGCGCAAGCACGACAAGGUUAAUCCGAGUGAUUCCUGCUAAAGGAAUCUUUUGUUAGUCUUAAAAUCACUAUUGAAUAAGGGGUGGGCAAGUUCUGGUGUCAGCCGCCGCGGUAAAACCAGCACCUCAAGUGGUCAGGAGGAUUAUUGGGCCUAAAGCAUCCGUAGCCUGCUCUGUAAGUUUCCGGUUAAAUCCAUUAGCUCAACUAAUGGCCUGCCGGAAAUACUGCAGAGCUAGGAAGUGGGAGAGGUAGACGGUACUCGGUAGGAAGGGGUAAAAUCCUUUGAUCUAUUGAUGACCACCUGUGGCGAAGGCGGUCUACCAGAACACGUUCGACGGUGAGGGAUGAAAGCUGGGGGAGCAAACCGGAUUAGAUACCCGGGUAGUCCCAGCUGUAAACGAUGCAGACUCGGUGAUGCGCUGGCUUGUGGCCAGUGCAGUGCCGCAG